rnacentral:rRNA from 1 species
GGCCAGACUCCUACGGGAGGCAGCAGUGGGGAAUAUUGCACAAUGGGGGAAACCCUGAUGCAGCGACGCCGCGUGAGUGAAGAAGUAUUUCGGUAUGUAAAGCUCUAUCAGCAGGGAAGAAAAUGACGGUACCUGACUAAGGAGCCCCGGCUAACUACGUGCCAGCAGCCGCGGUAAUACGUAGGGGGCAAGCGUUAUCCGGAUUUACUGGGUGUAAAGGGAGCGUAGACGGCAUGGCAAGUCAGAUGUGAAAGCCCGGGGCUCAACCCCGGGACUGCAUUUGAAACUGUCAGGCUGGAGUGCAGGAGAGGUAAGUGGAAUUCCUAGUGUAGCGGUGAAAUGCGUAGAUAUUAGGAGGAACACCAGUGGCGAAGGCGGCUUACUGGACUGUAACUGACGUUGAGGCUCGAAAGCGUGGGGAGCAAACAGGAUUAGAUACCCCUGUA